CUUGGUGCUAAUACCGGAUAAGCCCUUACGGGGAAAGAUUUAUCGCCGAAAGAUUGGCCCGCGUCUGAUUAGCUAGUUGGUGAGGUAACGGCUCACCAAGGCGACGAUCAGUAGCUGGUCUGAGAGGAUGAUCAGCCACAUUGGGACUGAGACACGGCCCAAACUCCUACGGGAGGCAGCAGUGGGGAAUAUUGGACAAUGGGGGCAACCCUGAUCCAGCCAUGCUGCGUGAGUGAUGAAGGCCCUAGGGUUGUAAAGCUCUUUUGUGCGGGAAGAUAAUGACGGUACCGCAAGAAUAAGCCCCGGCUAACUUCGUGCCAGCAGCCGCGGUAAUACGAAGGGGGCUAGCGUUGCUCGGAAUCACUGGGCGUAAAGGGUGCGUAGGCGGGUCUUUAAGUCAGGGGUGAAAUCCUGGAGCUCAACUCCAGAACUGCCUUUGAUACUGAGG
rnacentral:rRNA from 2 species